ACUAUUUUUUUCUUGGAGGUGCACUGGUGUCCAAUGAGCAUGUAAUGCAGGCAGUACUGCUAACACGUACAUAAGACGCCCGCAUCAACUAGAGCUUGGCCUUACCUCCAUAAGAAAAAAAAAUUAUUUUCCAAAAAUAAUUUUUAAAAUU
rnacentral:snRNA from 10 species